UUCAUAUUUUGGUGUUAUCCACAACAGUUCAGCUUAUCAUUAUAUAAUAUUGCCUCGUACCAACAUAAGAAAAGUCCUUCCGACGGCCAGAGAUGGCGUCCUUCGCCUUCAACACUCUGCAACUCUUCUCCGUCACUCUCUUUAGAGCACGCGUUAAUCACAUUGAAACCAGGGUGUCUGUUACGGACCAACCUCAAACAAAAACAGUGAAUUUAAGAACUCUAAAAGAAGAUGGCGCUGGCUUUUCUUCUGCCAGGGCUAUAGAUGGCAGAACAGGAAGAAAAAAUGUGAAGAACCUCGGUGGUUCAGCGGUGGAGACGACAGAAAGGACAUUAACAAAAGAUAAAAACGCAAGGAAGACUUUGGGUUUUAGAGAAAAGAGGAAGAAGCGUUCUGGGAGUUCUUCUUUGAGGUCUAGAGACGAGAAUAUAAUGUUUAAUUCUUCAGAGGGCGGGGGUAGUAUAGUGGUUGAUGGAAAAACAAAGAAGAAACCCAAGAAAGGUGAUUAUAACCGGGUGGGAAAGGAGGGGAAGGGAUCUAAGAAAACUGAAUCUUCAGAAGUUUCUUUGAGGAUGGCAUUGGACAUGUGCUCGAAAAGAGGGGAUGUCUUGGGCGCAAUUCAAUUGUACGAUAAAGCAUUAAGCGAAGAGAUUAAGAUGGGGCAGUACCAUUAUACUGUACUUUUGUAUCUAUGUUCCUCAGCGGCUGUGGGUGUUAUUCGUCCUUCCAAAAGUGGGAGUGGUAUUAGGACUUUGAGUGCAAUCGACUCAGCCAAUGGAGUUGCUAGUUUAAAUUCCAUGGGGAUGAGUGCAUUGCAACACAAGGGUAACAGGAAUUCAGGUGCUACGGAGUUGAGUAUUCCUUUAUCAAAUAAUGAGCAUCUACUUGAUUUUUCUACAAGUAAUGGAACAACAAAUAAGAUGGAGUUGGCUUCUAGUAAUAGGUUCAACAAUUUAGGUAGUACUUACAAUGAAAAGGAGAGCUUUAGCCAGUAUUCUAAGAGUAUGAAAAAGUUGAAUCCUCAACCUUUGGAUGGAGUAAGUAAUCCAAAAAAGGGCGGUGAUGAUUUUUCAAGCACAAACUAUGGGAGUGGUAACCAAGAAGAUCAUAAAAUUCAAGUUGGUGAAGAUGUCAAGAAGUAUGCACUUCAAAGGGGAUUUGAGAUCUACGAGAAGAUGUGUUUAGAUAAUGUCCCAAUGAAUGAAGCAGCAUUGACCUCAGUAGCUAGAAUGGCAAUGUCGACGGGUAAUGGUGACCUGGCAUUUGAUAUGGUGAAGCAAAUGAAGUCAUUGGGGAUAAAUCCAAGAUUGCGUUCUUAUGGUCCUGCCCUAUCUUCUUUCUGCAAUAGUGGCGAUAUUGACAAAGCAUUUGCUGUUGAGAAACACAUGUUGGAGAAUGGUGUCUAUCCAGAGGAGCCUGAACUGGAGGCACUCCUAAGAGCUAGUGUGGAAGCCGGUAAAGGUGAUAAAGUGUACUACUUGUUACAUAAACUAAGAACAAGCGUACGGAAGGUCUCAUCCACUACUGCAGAUUUGAUUGUUAAAUGGUUUAAUAGCAAAGCAGCUGCUAGAGUGGGUAAAACAAAAUGGGAUCCAAGUUUGAUAAAGGAAGCAACUGAAAAUAGAGGUGGAGGCUGGCAUGGACAGGGCUGGUUGGGGAAAGGAAGGUGGAGCAUUUCCUAUACGACUGUUGGAGUUGAUGGUUUGUGUCAAUGCUGUGGGGAGAAAUUGGCAAUGAUUGACCUUGAUCCUAAAGAAACACAGAGUUUUGCUGAGUCUGUUGCAUCUAUAGCUAUACAGAGAGAGAGAAAAUCAAGCUUUCAGAAAUUUCAACAAUGGCUUGACUAUUAUGGACCUUUUGAAGCAGUCGUAGAUGCAGCCAAUGUUGGUCUUUUUGACCAGAAGAAAUUUGUACCAUCCAAGGUCAGUGCUGUUGUUAAUGGAAUACGCCAGAAGCUUCCUUCAAAGAAAUGGCCUCUUAUUGUUUUGCAUAACAAGCGUAUAACUGGACGGAAGAUGGAUGAACCAGUAAAUAGGGCCUUGAUCGAGAAAUGGAAAACUGCUGAUGCACUCUAUGCAACACCUACUGGGUCAAAUGACGAUUGGUACUGGUUGUAUGCAGCAAUAAAGUUUAAGUGCUUAAUCGUUACAAAUGAUGAGAUGAGAGACCAUACAUUUCAACUUCUAGGAAAUGACUUCUUCCCAAAAUGGAAAGAGAGGCACCAAGUGCAUUUCAGAUUUUCUCAAGCUGGUCCAGUCUUUCACAUGCCUCCUCCUUGCUCUGUUGUAAUUCAGGAAUCUGAUUAUGGCCACUGGCAUAUUCCAGUUGUAUCAGAACAUGAUUAUGAAACAGAAAGAAUAUGGCUGUGUUUUACACGUGCUAAAUCAUGUAUGACAAGGCAAGAUUCUGCCUCUAGCCCCGAAGAAACUCGAUCCCUUCAGCGUAACGAGGGACAUGCUAGGUCAGCUGCUCAAACUGACGUGAAAAUAAAGUCACAACCUUCUGAUGCAAAACGCGAAAAUAAAAGUCCAACUCAGGAAAUCUACAAAAAUCUGAGAGAGAUCCUGUUAGCAUCUGCAUGCUCAAAUAAUCAUGACACUAUACUACAACAGAUUGAGGCUGCAGAGAUGUAUGGUAACUGUGUACUUGAUUUUCAAAUAUAAAACAUAUGGCUUUCCUGCUCGGGACCUCAAAUGAUGCUGUGGGAAACCUAUCUCCAAACCCAUCUUGCUCGACAGAAAGCUCUGCAGUUCAGAGUACUUUGUUGUCGCUGCUGAAUUUAAAUGUACUUCUUUGAGUCUUCUUGGCAUCAUGAUGUUAACCUUAUUGGAGGAAUAUUUUUGGUGGCUGCUGUGAAAUCCUUCUGGGGUUCCUCUCACGUUAGUUGGGUGCGAGAGGAGGUCAAUUCAUGCAAAGAGAACUUCUGCUGGAAUAUUUUACAGCAAGCAGUUGUCUUGCCUGCCAGCCUCAUGCCCAAGAUGCUUUAGAUGCUAGGAUUUCUUGUGCAAAAUCAUUCUGCUCAGCCAUUAACCAUGAUCAAUCAGGUAGAAUCCUACAGCAGCCAUGUGUAUGAUUCAGAAA